rnacentral:lncRNA from 1 species
UCAAAAAGUAUUUGUGGAGACCUCAUAUAAGACAAACAUUGAAUUCCUUUCCUACUUCACAUAAAAUGUAAAAUAAAUCUAUAAAAAGAAAUAUAUAAAGGAAAUUACCUUGCCUUUGGUUCUUUUAAGUAUUUUUAAGAGGGUUUAAUGUGCUUAAAUAUGCUAUGAGGUUAGAAGGAGAGAGAACUGGAUGAAUUGUUCCUUAGGAGCUGUGUACUAACUCCUGAAAUACCCUACUGCAGAUUUAAAAGUUGCUGCUAAAUAAUCUCAUUGCAGGGGAUGGGCCAGCAAAAGGAGACAUCUGGCCAGCUACCUCUGGAUGUCCCAUUUUGCUGGAUAUUCAGCAGAACUUGAAAAUUCUGUGUUGCAGUUCUUUUACUCUAUCUUUCAUGUUGUUUUGCAUUUCUGAUAAAUACCUCACAUAAAAGCAUGUGAUCAUGGAGGAAAUGCAGUAGCAACUCAGAAAUGCCACUUCAGUCAUCUGUAACAUUCACCUUUCUUGGACACAUGUAUUCUGCUGCAGCCCUCAGUCAUGGGAACAUGUGCACCUUUUUUGCCCAAAGACAAUGUUCCUUGACUAGAAUGCAGCUGUGGUGCUACAGACUUGAUUCCUCCUUCUCCAGAAGGUUGCACCUUUGCUUUCAGUUAUGCCAGCUCUUGGUGUAGUCCUGCCCAAAGGGAAUUCUUCACUUGCUGGUGGUGCUGUUUCUCAUGAGCUUCUCCCAGCUCCAGUACAAGGAUUAUUAUACUCUGAAGUCAAAAAUUGUCAUCCAGUCAGUCUUCAUUUCAAAAACUGGUUUCCUCAUUUGUUACAAACAAAUCAGCCUUAUUUUCAGGAGAAGAGUGUGUGAUUGGUUGAAGAUGCUUUUAAGAUAGGAGAAAAAUGUAAUAGGUCUUUUCUACUAAAAGCCUUCUUAAAAGGAAUGAGCAAAAAAUCCCUUUCAGAAUUGGUGUGACAUAAAUGUAACAUAGAAAUGAAGCAAUGACCUGUUUCCUACUGAAAGAAAAAUUGCUUACUUUUAUGGUGACAUUGUCAAGGGCUCUUGUUCUUUUAGAAUUUUUUCCCCAUACAGCAGCUGACAGCUCAGUGUGCCUGUGUGUGCAGAGAAGAGAUUCAGCCCUUUUGAUGAGCAUCAUUUUCUCAAUCAACAUUGCAGCCCUCUUGGCCAGCUGGCAUCCCGUUUUUUCCUUUUCCAGCAGGCAUUGGUUCAGUUUGGCGUGAUCCUUCAGAGUGGGAGCAGCAGCCUAUUUAGAGCUUCAAACACAUAAAGACUGACUGGCUGGAACCCCAGAGAACAACCUAGCAAGAGGCUGAUGAGGGCACUUAGCCAGACCAUCUCUGAAACACUAUUGUUAAAAGAACCUGAUGUGCAUGUUAAGUAAACAUCAAAUAUGCAAAACCCAGUACAUGUAACUUGCAGAUAAUAGCAUAAGGUAAUGGGCCCUAUCUCCAAAUAAAUAAUAGCACCCUCAUAACCA